AGAGUUUGAUCAUGGCUCAGAUUGAACGCUGGCGGCAUGCCUUACACAUGCAAGUCGAACGGUAACGCGGGGCAACCUGGCGACGAGUGGCGAACGGGUGAGUAAUGCAUCGGAACGUGCCCAGUAGUGGGGGAUAGCCCGGCGAAAGCCGGAUUAAUACCGCAUACGACCUACGGGUGAAAGCGGGGGACCGCAAGGCCUCGCGCUAUUGGAGCGGCCGAUGUCAGAUUAGGUAGUUGGUGGGGUAAAGGCCUACCAAGCCGACGAUCUGUAGCUGGUCUGAGAGGACGACCAGCCACACUGGGACUGAGACACGGCCCAGACUCCUACGGGAGGCAGCAGUGGGGAAUUUUGGACAAUGGGCGCAAGCCUGAUCCAGCCAUGCCGCGUGCGGGAAGAAGGCCUUCGGGUUGUAAACCGCUUUUGUCAGGGAAGAAACGCUCCGGGCCAAUACCCUGGGGUAAUGACGGUACCUGAAGAAUAAGCGCCGGCUAACUACGUGCCAGCAGCCGCGGUAAUACGUAGGGUGCAAGCGUUAAUCGGAAUUACUGGGCGUAAAGCGUGCGCAGGCGGUCUUGCAAGACAGAUGUGAAAUCCCCGGGCUCAACCUGGGAACUGCAUUUGUGACUGCAAGGCUGGAGUGCGGCAGAGGGGGAUGGAAUUCCGCGUAGCAGUGAAAUGCGUAGAUAUGCGGAGGAACACCGAUGGCGAAGGCAAUCCCCUGGGCCUGCACUGACGCUCAUGCACGAAAGCGUGGGGAGCAAACAGGAUUAGAUACCCUAGUAGUCC
rnacentral:rRNA from 1 species